GAUGAACGCUGGCGGCGUGCUUAACACAUGCAAGUCGAACGGUGAACACGGAGCUUGCUCUGUGGGAUCAGUGGCGAACGGGUGAGUAACACGUGAGCAACCUGCCCCUGACUCUGGGAUAAGCGCUGGAAACGGCGUCUAAUACUGGAUAUGUGACGUGAUCGCAUGGUCUGCGUCUGGAAAGAAUUUCGGUUGGGGAUGGGCUCGCGGCCUAUCAGCUUGUUGGUGAGGUAAUGGCUCACCAAGGCGUCGACGGGUAGCCGGCCUGAGAGGGGGACCGGCCACACGGGGACUGAGACACGGCCCAGACUCCUACGGGAGGCAGCAGUGGGGAAUAUUGCACAAUGGGCGCAAGCCUGAUGCAGCAACGCCGCGUGAGGGAUGACGGCCUUCGGGUUGUAAACCUCUUUUAGCAGGGAAGAAGCGAAAGUGACGGUACCUGCAGAAAAAGCGCCGGCUAACUACGUG
rnacentral:rRNA from 1 species